rnacentral:rRNA from 1 species
GACAGAGGGUGCAAACGUUGUUCGGAAUUACUGGGCGUAAAGGGCGCGUAGGCGGCCUUCUAAGUCGGACGUGAAAUCCCUCGGCUCAACCGAGGAACUGCGUCUGAUACUGGAAGGCUUGAAUCCGGGAGAGGGAUGUGGAAUUCCAGGUGUAGCGGUGAAAUGCGUAGAUAUCUGGAGGAACACCGGUGGCGAAGGCGGCAUCCUGGACCAUAACUGACACUGAUAAGCGAAAGCCAGGGGAGCAAACGGG